GUGCUAGCAGCCGCGGUAAUACGGAGGGUGCGAGCUUUAAUCGGAAUUACUGGGCGUAAAGCGGAUGCAGGUGGUUUGUUAAGUCAGAUGUGAAAGCCCGGGGCUCAACCUCGGAAUUGCAUUUGAAACUGGCAGGCUAGAGUACUGUAGAGGGAGGUAGAAUUUCAGGUGUAGCGGUGAAAUGCGUAGAGAUCUGAAGGAAUACCGGUGGCGAAGGCGGCCCCCUGGACAGAUACUGACACUCAGAUGCGAAAGCGUGGGGAGCAAACCGGAUUAGAUACCCCUGUAGUCC
rnacentral:rRNA from 1 species